CCUCUGUUGGACUCUGACCAGAGGAAUGGCCAGAAUUUUGCUGGGAGCGGCUCUCCACUUCUGCAGAGAUGGACUAUGACAGUGUAGUUAACUGAAAUACUUACUUUUGCUUCAGUAAUUUUAAAGCUCAAAUCCAUUCCUUAUAAAAAAAGUAAUAUCAAGACAUACCUACAAAGAUCAUCAGCACUAGCCUAGAAGAUUUCACUUGCUUAUUUUCAAGGAUUGUAGUAGAUGUGAACUCUUGCAUGCCCUGCAGUCUUGGCUCUCCAAAUGAAGGGACUGAAGAAUCAUUUGGAAAAAUAUAUACUACUAAUUUGGACUUUGCAGCUGUGAUCAAGAGAUACACCUGAAUCAAGAAUUAGAUGAGUCUCUGGAAAGUCUAAUGAGAUCUUAGGACAUAUGAGGAAAAUUUUCUGUAUAAAGUGUAGCAUUGAUGCCAUAUGACAAUGAUAAAGUUGAUAUGUCUGAAUAAGUAAAUGCAACUAAUAAAAUCUAAUUACAAGGUAUUCUGUGUGUUUUCCAGUACUUUACUGGAAUGCAAAGCUCUAAACCGUAAAAAGUGAAGGAAUCAGAGUCUCAGUAUUAGUAGUAAAAAAUAGAAAAUUGUAACUAUGUAUAUUUCAU